GAUGAACGCUGGCGGCGUGCCUAAUACAUGCAAGUCGAGCGAACAGACGAGGAGCUUGCUCCUCUGACGUUAGCGGCGGACGGGUGAGUAACACGUGGAUAACCUACCUAUAAGACUGGGAUAACUUCGGGAAACCGGAGCUAAUACCGGAUAAUAUAUUGAACCGCAUGGUUCAAUAGUGAAAGACGGUUUUGCUGUCACUUAUAGAUGGAUCCGCGCCGCAUUAGCUAGUUGGUAAGGUAACGGCUUACCAAGGCAACGAUGCGUAGCCGACCUGAGAGGGUGAUCAGCCACACUGGAACUGAGACACGGUCCAGACUCCUACGGGAGGCAGCAGUAGGGAAUCUUCCACAAUGGGCGAAAGCUUGACGGAGCAACGCCGCGUGAGUGAUGAAGGUCUUCGGAUCGUAAAACUCUGUUAUUAGGGAAGAACAAAUGUGUAAGUAACUAUGCACGUCUUGACGGUACCUAAUCAGAAAGCCACGGCUAACUACGUG
rnacentral:rRNA from 1 species